GGUGGUAACAUAGCUGCCAGCAGUCCUAGGAUCCUCUUCUGAGAGCACUCAGCAAAAACUUGUUCCUGGCUAGGUAUCAGAACCUUCUCUGCUUGCUUCUGAGCUGAAUCUUCUGAAAUGCAAUCAUCUGUUGGGGUAAUGUUAUCUUCCAUAGACAACUCUGAUUCUUGUCUCAAAACAGCUUUCUUUGCAGACACAGCAUUACGAUCACUUUCACUUCCAUGUUUUUGUACUUUAUCUCCUGCAGGAGACUGGAUUUCAUUGAGAGUCUCUCCUUUCUCAUUACUAUGCAUAAAGGAGCCUGUGCUUGGUUUCUCAUCCUUCCCCUUCCCUGCUUUAUCACCA
rnacentral:lncRNA from 1 species